rnacentral:rRNA from 1 species
CCUACGGGUGGCAGCAGUGAGGAAUCUUGGACAAUGGCCGGAAGGCUGAACCAGCCACGCCGCGUGAAGGACGAAGGUGCCAAGCAUUGUAAACUUCUUUUGUCAAGGGACAAAAUCAGGCUCGAGAGCCUGACCGAGGGUACUUGAAGAAAAAGCAUCGGCUAACUCCGUGCCAGCAGCCGCGGUAAUACGGGGGAUGCGAGCAUUAUCGGGAUUUAUUGGCUUAAAAGGGUGCGUAGGCGGGCUGUUAAGUCAGCGGUAAAAGCACGGGGUUCAGCCCCGGCGAGCCGUUGAAACUGGCUGUCUUGAGAGGACGAGAGGUAUGCGGAAUGCGCAGUGUAGCGGUGAAAUGCUUAGAUAUAGCGCAGAACUCCGAUUGCGAAGGCAGCAUACCGGCGGCGAUCUGACGCUGAGGCACGAAAGCGUGGGUAUCGAACAGGAUUAGAUACCCCGGUAGUC